rnacentral:rRNA from 1 species
ACGCUGGCGGCAGGCCUAACACAUGCAAGUCGAGCGGUAGAGAGAAGCUUGCUUCUCUUGAGAGCGGCGGACGGGUGAGUAAUGCCUAGGAAUCUGCCUGGUAGUGGGGGAUAACGUUCGGAAACGGACGCUAAUACCGCAUACGUCCUACGGGAGAAAGCAGGGGACCUUCGGGCCUUGCGCUAUCAGAUGAGCCUAGGUCGGAUUAGCUAGUUGGUGGGGUAAUGGCUCACCAAGGCGACGAUCCGUAACUGGUCUGAGAGGAUGAUCAGUCACACUGGAACUGAGACACGGUCCAGACUCCUACGGGAGGCAGCAGUGGGGAAUAUUGGACAAUGGGCGAAAGCCUGAUCCAGCCAUGCCGCGUGUGUGAAGAAGGUCUUCGGAUUGUAAAGCACUUUAAGUUGGGAGGAAGGGCAGUUGCCUAAUACGUAACUGUUUUGACGUUACCGACAGAAUAAGCACCGGCUAACUCUGUGCCAGCAGCCGCGGUAAUACAGAGGGUGCAAGCGUUAAUCGGAAUUACUGGGCGUAAAGCGCGCGUAGGUGGUUUGUUAAGUUGGAUGUGAAAUCCCCGGGCUCAACCUGGGAACUGCAUUCAAAACUGACUGACUAGAGUAUGGUAGAGGGUGGUGGAAUUUCCUGUGUAGCGGUGAAAUGCGUAGAUAUAGGAAGGAACACCAGUGGCGAAGGCGGCCCCCUGGACAAAGACUGAGGCUCAGGUGCGAAAGCGUGGGGAGCAAAC